rnacentral:rRNA from 1 species
UGGGGAAUAUUGGACAAUGGGCGAAAGCCUGAUCCAGCAAUGCCGCGUGAGUGAAGAAGGCCUUCGGGUUGUAAAGCUCUUUUGUCAGGGAAGAAACGGUGAGAGCUAAUAUCUUUUGCUAAUGACGGUACCUGAAGAAUAAGCACCGGCUAACUACGUGCCAGCAGCCGCGGUAAUACGUAGGGUGCAAGCGUUAAUCGGAAUUACUGGGCGUAAAGCGUGCGCAGGCGGUUUUGUAAGUCUGAUGUGAAAUCCCCGGGCUCAACCUGGGAAUUGCAUUGGAGACUGCAAGGCUAGAAUCUGGCAGAGGGGGGUAGAAUUCCACGUGUAGCAGUGAAAUGCGUAGAUAUGUGGAGGAACACCGAUGGCGAAGGCAGCCCCCUGGGUCAAGAUUGACGCUCAUGCACGAAAGCGUGGGGAGCAAACAGGAUUAGAUACCCCAGUAGUCCCUGAGCGGGCUGGCAAGGCGCAU